UGGGGAAUAUUACACAAUGGGCGAAAGCCUGAUGCAGCGACGCCGCGUGAGGGAUGACGGCCUUCGGGUUGUAAACCUCUUUCAGUAGGGACGAAGCGCAAGUGACGGUACCUGCAGAAGAAGCACCGGCUAACUACGUGCCAGCAGCCGCGGUAAUACGUAGGGUGCGAGCGUUGUCCGGAAUUACUGGGCGUAAAGAGCUCGUAGGCGGUUUGUCACGUCGUCUGUGAAAUCCUAGGGCUUAACCCUGGACGUGCAGGCGAUACGGGCUGACUUGAGUACUACAGGGGAGACUGGAAUUUCUGGUGUAGCGGUGGAAUGCACAGAUAUCAGGAAGAACACCGAUGGCGAAGGCAGGUCUCUGGGUAGUAACUGACGCUGAGGAGCGAAAGCAUGGGUAGCGAACAGG
rnacentral:rRNA from 1 species